CAAUUCGGGUUUGAACUAUGUAUAAUAUUUUGUUUUGCCUCUGAUUUGGAGAUAUUAUCUGCUUAAUUUUAUGGUUUCUUUGUGUAUGUGGACUAUGUAUGUAUGUAUUUAGUUCAUUUGUGAGGAUGUGGGGGAUUGCAAGGCAAAAACCUGGAGCUGGAGGAUUUCCUGUUCCGGUAGGUCUUUCAAUCGUAUGUUUUGAUUUUGAAAAAGGAAGAUUUUUUUGCAUCUAAUAGAUAGUAUUUAAUUUCAGAUUUUAGAACAUUCCUUGCAGAGGAUACAGCAGCCUACAGUAUCCGCGUUGAGAUGUUAUUCAUCUACUACCAAAGAGGUGUCGUCUUUCAAUUGCAAUCUGAAUUCUGCAAAGUUUCAAUCAAGCAUUUUUGGUACUGUUGUUCCUGGCAAGCCAUCUUCCUUACAAUGAAGAAGAUCACUGUGCUGAGGUCCACAAUAACCAAUCUUCAGCCUAAGGUAGGG